UACCAUGCAAGUCGAACGAUGAACCACCUUCGGGUGGGGAUUAGUGGCGAACGGGUGAGUAACACGUGGGCAAUCUGCCCUGCACUCUGGGACAAGCCCUGGAAACGGGGUCUAAUACCGGAUACUGAACCGCUUGGGCAUCCAGGCGGUUCGAAAGCUCCGGCGGUGCAGGAUGAGCCCGCGGCCUAUCAGCUUGUUGGUGAGGUAACGGCUCACCAAGGCGACGACGGGUAGCCGGCCUGAGAGGGCGACCGGCCACACUGGGACUGAGACACGGCCCAGACUCCUACGGGAGGCAGCAGUGGGGAAUAUUGCACAAUGGGCGAAAGCCUGAUGCAGCGACGCCGCGUGAGGGAUGACGGCCUUCGGGUUGUAAACCUCUUUCAGCAGGGAAGAAGCGAAAGUGACGGUACCUGCAGAAGAAGCGCCGGCUAACUACGUGCCAGCAGCCGCGGUAAUACGUAGGGCGCGAGCGUUGUCCGGAAUUAUUGGGCGUAAAGAGCUCGUAGGCGGCUUGUCGCGUCGGUUGUGAAAGCCCGGGGCUUAACCCCGGGUCUGCAGUCGAUACGGGCAGGCUAGAGUUCGGUAGGGGAGAUCGGAAUUCCUGGUGUAGCGGUGAAAUGCGCAGAUAUCAGGAGGAACACCGGUGGCGAAGGCGGAUCUCUGGGCCGAUACUGACGCUGAGGAGCGAAAGCGUGGGGAGCGAACAGGAUUAGAUACCCUGGUAGUCCACGCCGUAAACGGUGGGCACUAGGUGUGGGCGACAUUCCACGUCGUCCGUGCCGCAGCUAACGCAUUAAGUGCCCCGCCUGGGGAGUACGGCCGCAAGGCUAAAACUCAAAGGAAUUGACGGGGGCCCGCACAAGCGGCGGAGCAUGUGGCUUAAUUCGACGCAACGCGAAGAACCUUACCAAGGCUUGACAUACACCGGAAAACCCUGGAGACAGGGUCCCCCUUGUGGUCGGUGUACAGGUGGUGCAUGGCUGUCGUC
rnacentral:rRNA from 1 species